UUUCUGUCUCUUAUUAAUUUCUAGUAACUUACUUUUAGGAAGUGAAAAGACUUCCAUAUUUACAAAAGACGAGAAGACCCUAAGAAUUUCCAAGAAGAAAACUAUAGGUUUUUGAUUUUUUGUUGGGGCAACAAAGGAACACCAGAAAAUUUCCUGUUUUAAUUAAUCACAUACGCCGAAAAUUUUUAUGUAAAAAUAAAUUACCUUAGGGAUAACAGCAUAAUAAUAUUGUUUAGUUUGUGACCUCGAUGUUGGACUAG
rnacentral:rRNA from 1 species